rnacentral:rRNA from 1 species
GACGAACCGUGCGAACGUUGUUCGGAAUCACUGGGCUUAAAGGGCGCGUAGGCGGCCAUGCGUGUCUUCCGUGAAAUCCCUCGGCUUAACUGAGGACGUGCGGAAGAAACUGCAAGGCUUGAGUCCGGGAGAGGGGGUGGAAUUCCCAGUGUAGCGGUGAAAUGCGUAGAUAUUGGGAGGAACACCGGUGGCGAAGGCGGCCCCUGGACCGGUACUGACGCUGAGGCGCGAAAGCGUGGGGAGCAAACAGG